UCUAGAUGUUCUAUCCAAGAGUGGGAGGCUCCCUCAAAGCUGGGACUUGCUAGGAGUGACAUCGUCACCGUGUCCAGUCACCGUGCUCCAGCCACAUAAACAAGUGACUGAAGAACCGUGCAGGCAGUUUGCUCAGCUGCAGCCAGUUCCCACUCACCACACCCAAUGUAGAAGAGAUGGGUGUUCUAAUCACAUUCCAAUUUGAACAGCUGCAUUCUAACACAAUAUUUCAGCUUUGAUUUCAACAGAUAAUGAUAAGCAUAUUUUACAGAAGCCUACAUUUUAAAUUGUCAAAGUGAAUAAAAAGGCUUGUCUCAGGAGCAAGUUACAGUUGCUUUCUGCCUGAAGCAAGUUGUGGUUUCAAGAGGACACCUACAAUAUCAGAUGGUGGGAUACAGAGGAAACUUUUUCAAUAUGAAUAUUGUCUGGCUGUGAAAAGCUACAGGAGAUGUUUCUACCCUCUUGGGACUGUUGAACAGAAUGCUGGUCUGUGUGCAGAAGACGCUGUUGGCUAGUUUUGAACAAAGUGAAAACCAAUGGAAUCUGAAUAGUGUGGUUGGCUGGAUGCAUUUUACAAGAUAUUGAGUGAGAUACUGUAGCAGAAUGAUAUCAUGCAACUGAAAGUAGGUGCCUAGAACAUGCUUUAGGCACUCUGAACUCGAGCAUUUGUGGAUGGUUGAGGAAAUCUCACUCCAUAAGCAUCUUUUGAAAUGUAUACACCAAGCAGACAAUACGGCCAUUGUAUUUUAGCUACCUUACACACCAUCCUUUAUGCUCUUAUUUGCAAGCAGAGGGAUAUGCAGGGUGUAUAUAUUGUGCCAGGUGUUCUAGUAAAAAUCUUCAACUAGAGUGUAUUGAGUGUCCAUGCAUCUGGGAAUGUAUUCUUGUAAAUACAACAACUGUUAAGAAACUGGUCUAUCUUUUAUACAGGUAAAUACAGGUUUCCCUCAGUUUUUAUGUGGGUUUUUUUAUGCGAUGAGCAUAUUUAGACCCAUAUUUCAUUAUGUGAGGUAAAUUCACUCUUGUGUGAUCAGCAUAGAUGCC